rnacentral:rRNA from 1 species
CCCAGACUCCUACGGGAGGCAGCAGUGAGGAAUAUUGGUCAAUGGGCGAGAGCCUGAACCAGCCAAGUCGCGUGAGGGAAGACGGUCCUAUGGAUUGUAAACCUCUUUUGCCGGGGAGCAAAAAGCGGUACGUGUACCGCAUCGAGAGUACCCGGAGAAAAAGCAUCGGCUAACUCCGUGCCAGCAGCCGCGGUAAUACGGAAGGUCCGGGCGUUAUCCGGAUUUAUUGGGUUUAAAGGGAGCGUAGGCCGGUCUUUAAGCGUGCCGUGAAAUUUUGUGGCUCAACCAUGAGAGUGCGGCGCGAACUGGAGACCUUGAGUGCGCGGAAGGCAGGCGGAAUUCGUGGUGUAGCGGUGAAAUGCUUAGAUAUCACGCAGAACUCCGAUUGCGAAGGCAGCGUACCGGCGCCCAACUGACGCUCAUGCACGAAAGCGUGGGUAUCGAACAGGAUUAGAUACCCCAGUA